UUUUUUAUUGUUCUAAAAUGUGGAAAAUAAUAAAUAAAGAAUGUGUGUGUGUCUUAACUUUUGACUGGUAGUGUAUAUAAAUGCUAUAAACAAACAAUAAACAUUAUUUAACUUGCUAAUGUUCCACAGAUUUUCAGAACGUGAUUGAAAAUGACUGUAAAGCCUACCAGCGAACAAUGUACACCAAGUAUGGACAGUGAAGAUGAUUUUGAAGAGGACCUUAAGUUUCCUGGCCCUCUUAUGAGCAAUGACAUGCAGAAGGAGGACCUGAUUUUGUUUAUCCGGUGGAAAGCAAAGGAGUGUUAUACAGAGCUUUAUAAACGUGACCACGUGGAGGCCUAUUUCUUAUGGAAGAUAAUGGAAUUGGUCUGCCGUGAAAACGGAGUGUUAAUUGAUUGUUUAAGCAAAGUUAUAAUAUAUAAAGACAUUUAAGAACACAUUCUCUGAUUGUUCUGAAUAAUCUACUCGUAUUCGGUUACAUCUCCAAUACUAACGUUACUGAAUGAUAUUUCUUUUACAGAAAGAGGUGAUGUGUGAAGUCGCCGCAGUCAUCUUCAAGGGCUACAGCAGGCUCAGGAAUAAGUUUCCAACAUUUCGGUGCCCAGAUGGUGACAGAUGGAAGGAAUGGUGUCUUCCUCUGGCAGACCUUUUGUGCUCCUCUGCACCAGAUGACGAGAUCAGAGAGGCUGUAAUAAAGAUGGGAGAUGAUCUUGCCUCCAGAACUUGGACCUAUGCAGCACAUAUCUGCUACGUUGUAGCAAAAGUGGAGCUGGGAUCACGUAGUCAGUUUGAACUGAUUGGAUGUGACAGAGUGCCUUUUGAGAUGUCAGUCCUACCUGAAACCUUUGUGACAACUGAGACAUACGAAUACUUGCUGUCGCUGACCACAGGGCUGGCCCAGCCAAGCUUCCAGAUCUUCAAGUUGUGCCAUGUCAGCAGGAUGGUCUAUUUUAAGCUGACUCUCAUAAGUGCUGCCCCUAAAUACUGUGAGACCCUCGCUAGGGCAGCCUUCACUUUCCCCGACAGAAUCAAAAGUAACUUCAUUGAACGGCUUAUUUUGCUGUCUUGCAAUCUCCUAAAAGACCAGGCAGAAGAACCUGAGUGGCUGCUAGAGCUCCGGCAGCUGCACAGAACUAAAUUAGCAAAUGCUAAUGGUGACCCAGAGCAGUACAUGGCAUCUACCAUCCAUGAGGUGUAUUCUGAGAUUCAGGACUCACAAUUUUCCCUGAGGACAGACGAGAUCCUCGCUCUCCAGUCUACUGAUCUGGAGCAGCAUGCUGCCCCACGGGCUGGGCUUUAUUCACGGUACACUUUGGGAAAACUGCUGGGGAAGUGAGACUAUGGAUCUGUCUUCGAAGGACACCGGAUUGAAGAUGGGAAAGAGGUUGCCGUUAAAUUUGUUGACAAGGCCGGUGACAUCAUAACAAUUGCACUGAUGCAUUUAAACCUCCUGAGUGCCUGAUGAAUUUAAAGUACAUGGGCAUUCCUGCUACCAUCUGGGGUCUGGGCAUACUCCUGUUCUGCAUGAUCUGUGGAUGCAACCCCUUUGAAUCAGGUGGCGACUUUCAGUGUGCACACCUGGAAUUAUGUUCUGACAUGUCUCGAGAGUGCUUUGAGCUGAUAAUGUGGUGCCUGGAGAUCGACCCUGAAACGCGGCCAACUUUCGCUGACUUGGUCAGGCACGAGUGGUUUACGGAGGCAGUUCUGGAGAAAGUUCAGAUUCCUCCUGAAACCAAAGAUCUUGUAACUACUCGUUGAUAACUAACACACACACACUUAUAUAUGUUAGAAAUUGUUAUUCAUUAUUUAUUUUUAUUAUAAUAAAAUAGAAAAAUAAUAUAACAAGAAUGCUAAAAACAUUCAAUAUAUUUAAUCAGUGCUGCGUUUUACACCAACAUUCGCAUUCAAACGGCUCAAAUCACCUUCCUCUCAUCAUUAAUGAUAACGCCACCGUUUGAUUCUCAUAAUGAGAGCAAAUAUGGAGUCUUUUGUCCUGGAAAGCCUGAAUAAUCAGAAAAAUAAUAACCUGAUAAAUAAGUUUGAAUUUGACCCAAAGUAAUCUUGGCAGAGUUGCUUCCUUAAGAGUUUAAUAAACACAUAAGACAUAAAGGUACUUCACAGUAAUUUAUGUGAAAACAACAAUACAACAUGUGUGCAUACAUAUUAUACAUCAUACUGAGAGCUUGGACCAUGAUGGUGUUAACAAUGUUUUUAAAUGUCCUGAGGUCCAAAACACAGCCUGUCCAAUAAAAUAAAAUAAAAAAUGUUUACAGGACUUUACAGGGAAUCAGUUUAUUUAUAUUCAUCUGUAGAUGGGUUGUUGUCAUGACAUGGCAUUUUCACUGUCACACAAGAUAAAAAUGAAUGAAGUAUUGAGUGGGUAUUAAAUAAAUAAGUAUUGUCAUAAUUUAGAAACGCAUUCAAUUAUUAAACAUUUCUUUGAUUUACAUCGACUUGUUAUUAUACAAGCUGCAUCAUUAGAUUUUUUUUGCCAAAUCUCAAAAUUGUCCUGUGGUAUGACUGUCUCGAUCAAGGUUCAAUAAAUUAAAAAGAAAAGCAUAAAAAUGUUGAUAAAUACCACUGGCAUAAUUUUUACAAGUAUCUAUUUUAGCAAAUGGCAAUUAG